CCCAUUGAGUUUAAGUAUAUAAUUAAGCAAAGGAAAAUAAACUUACAAGGAUUCCCCUAGUAACGACGAGCGAACCGGGAAGAGCCCAUCAUGAAAAUCGGGUGGCAGCACCACCUGAAUUGUAGUUUGUAGAAGUGUCCUUAGUGGUGGACCGGGCCCAAGUCCCCCAGAAGGGGGCACCUCAUAGGAUGAUAUCCCCAUCGAGGUGAGACCCUGCUACACCACGAGGCAUUGUCGGCGAGUCGGGUUGUUUGGGAAUAGAGCCCUAAUUGGGUGGUGAAUUUCAUUAAAGUAUAAAUACAGGCAAGAGACCGAUAGAAAACAAGUACCACGAGGGAAAUAUGAAAAGGACUUUGAAAAUAGAGUUAAAGAGUGCUUGAAAUUCAUGGGAGGGAAGCGGAUGGAGACCCGUGAUGCAUAUCGUUCGAAUGUGGAACUGCUCAGGCUGGUUCGUCGCUCGACUCGAGGUACGAACUAGAACAAGUCGUUGCAUCGGAACAAGCAAGGGUGGAGUACUCCCUAUUGGAUUUCCAUUGUGGAGGUCGAGGAAUGAAGCGUGCACCCCUUGGGGCAGGCCACUGUGCACCUACAUGCUUGUGGUGUUGGUUGGUGGGCUUUCCAUUUGACCCAUCUUGAAACACAGACAAGGGAGUCUAACAUGUGGGAAAGUCGGUGGGUUUGUAAACCUCGGAGGCGUAAGGAAGCUGACAGGUGAGAUCCCCUCUCCAUGGGGUGCAUUUUCGACCGACCUUGAGCUUGUCCAAAGGGUUCGAGUGCGAGCACACCUGUUGGGACCCAAAAUAUGGUGAACUAUGCCUGAGCAGGGCAAAGCCAGAGGAAACUCUGGUGGAGGCCCGUAGCGAUAUUGACAUGAAAAUCGUUCAUCUGACUUGGGUAUAGAGGUGAAAGACUAAUCGAAACAUCUAGUAGUUGGUUUCCUCCAAAGUUUCCCUCAGGAUAUUUGGAGCUCACAUGUGAGUUGUAUCGGGUAAAGAAAAUGAUUAGAGGCAUCGGGGGCGUAACGUCCUCGACCUAUUCUCAAACUUUAAAUAGGUAAGAUGGAACGGCUGCUCCACUAAGACGUUCCAUGGAAUUGAGAGCUCCAAGUGGGCCAUUUUUGGUAAGAAGAACUGGCGAUGCAGGAUGAACCAAAAUUCGAUUUACGGUGCCAAACUGCACGAUAACCUAGAUCCCACAAAGGGUGUUGGUUGAUUAAGACAGCAAGAUAGUUGUCAUGGAAGUCAAAAUCCGCUAAGGAGUGUGUAACAACUCACCUGCCGAAUCAAAUAGCCCCGAAAAUGGAUGGUGUUGAAGCGCGCGACCUAUAGUCGACCAUCGGAGCAAUUUCCAGGCUUCGAUGAGUAGAAGGACGUGGGGGUCGUUGAGAAACCUUGGGCGUGAGCCUGGGUGGACCGGUCCCCGGGGCAGAUCUUGGUGGUAGUAGAAAAUAUUCAAAUGAGAAAUUUGAAGACUGAAGUAGGGAAAGGUUCCAUGUGAACAACACUUGGACAUGGGUUAGUCGAUACUAAGAGAUGGGGAAGCCCUGUUUCAAGGGUGGACUCUGCACAAGCAUCGAAAGGGAAUCAGGUUAAUAUUCCCGAACCGGGACAUGGCGGAAGACGACAAUGUUAGGAAAUCAGGAGACGUCGUCGGGGGCCCGAGAAGAGUUAUAUUUUAUUUUGCGUUGCGUUUGAGCCCCCAUCUUUCCAACUCACCUUCUGUUUCAUUUGGGCACCCAUCUUGCCUACUCGUAUUUCGUUGCGUUCAAGCACCCAUAUUGUUACGGCUCAUUGUGUGUUUGGGUGCCCAUCUUGCCAACUUGCCUUGUGUUGCAUUUGGGCGCACCUCUUGCCAAGUCACCUUGCCUUUCCCUUGGUCGCCCAACCUUGGAU
rnacentral:ncRNA from 1 species